UUGAAAGCAAUUGUUUCAUCAUGAAUUUAUUCAAACGAGAUUAGGAUGUUGUGGUGAACUUGUGAGUUGAAACGAUCGUCAGUGAGCUGUGAAGAUUGAAGUCUGCAAAUUUGACAUUUUGACUGGGCUAUAUUUUUGAGUCAAUGAUUAGAGAUCGAAUACAAGUACCCAAAAUGUUUCAGUAUCAACCUCCGUGAAGAGACGUUUUGUUGGAAAAUUCGUGUUUCUACUGUGGAUUAAAAAAAGGAAUUUUAAAAUGGUUUCUAUGAAGUUUCAGUAAAAUAAAUUGUUUGA